GUUCGGAUUCACUGGGCGUAAAGGGCGCGUAGGUGGCGAGGAAAGUCGGAUGUGAAAGCUCGGAGCUCAACUCCGAAAUGGCAUUGGAAACUACCUUGCUCGAGGGAUGGAGGGGGGACUGGAAUUCUCGGUGUAGCAGUGAAAUGCGUAGAUAUCGAGAGGAACACCAGUGGCGAAGGCGAGUCCCUGGACAUCUCCUGACACUGAGGCACGAAAGCUAGGGGAGCAAACAGG
rnacentral:rRNA from 1 species